AUGCUGGCUGGGGGAUUCUGGGAGUGGAAGUCCUCCCCUCUUUAAGCAGGCUGGCUGGGGGAUUCUGGGAGUGGAAGUCCCCCCCUCUUAAAGCAUGCUGGCUGGGGGAUUCUGGGAGUGGAAGCCCACCCUUCUCAAGCCAUGCUGUCAAGGGAAUUGUGGGUGUGGAAGUCCAUCCAUCUUAAAACAUGCUGGCUGGGGAAUUCUGAGAGUUGAAGUCCACCCACAAUCAGGAGUGCUGGCUGUGGGAUUCUGGGGUGGAAGUCCACCCAUCUUCAAGUUGCCAUAGUUGAGAAACACUGCAGUGUAUUGCAAAAUUUAAACAUCCUGAAUUCAGCGAAUCAAUGGAUUGGGUUCCCCCAGACGUUGAACCCUGGUUUGCUCAACUCAGCUUGCGAGCUUUGCUCGAGGUACAGAAUCUAAAACUGGCCCCAGAGCCUGGAUUCACACGUGGUAAAGGUGGUCACUUGGCUAUCGGGUCUGUGUUUCUUGUGAAGGCAUCUUGGAGACAAGUGUGGAGAGCUCAAAUCCUCUAGUAAAAAGUGGGCACUUGUGAAACGGGGAGCACUUAAUCCUGCGGACACUUUAGCUACAAGAGAUGACCCACCCCCCACCCCCCCACCCACACACUCAUAAAAGACUGGGCACAGGGUCAUCCAUGCCAGAACGUCCUGAGACCAAACCACGCAGAUUGUGUCGUUUGCACAAAGAGGCAAUGGGAUGUCAUCGUGCCUUGCACCAGAUGCUCCCGUGGGGGAUUUUAAGAUAAGCAGUGGUGGAAUUUUGGAAGGAGAUCGACCUGACUUUGCAGGGGGGCCGUGCCUGUUUCAAUCGUGCCAUUUCUCAAAGCUACGCCAAAAGGUUUCUAGCUAACUUCAUCGCUGGGAUGGAGCAACGCUGGUGUUCCUGUCCCUUCCUUUUCCCCAGCCCCUGCCUCCUUUUUACGAGAAAAGUGCAGCCCUUCAUUUCUUCCACCAAGCGUUGAAGCAGUGAGAGAAACAAUUCAGAUUGUGGAAUUGUUAUCGUUUGCACAAGGAGGCAUUGGAAUGUUGUGUCAUGCACCAAAUGCUCCUGUGGGAAAUUUAAAAUGAGCUAUGGUGGAUUUCUGGCCUGAGUUAGCAGGGGCUGCGCCUCCUUCAGCCGUGCCAUUUAUCAAAACUACGCCAAAAGGUUUCUAGCUAAACAGAGACUAACUAUGCCUACUUCAAUCGUGCCAUUUAUCAAAACUAUGCCAAAAGGUUUCUAACUCGAAAGGGAUUAUGCCUACUUCAGUGGUGCCAUUUAUCAAACUACGCUAAAAGUUUUCUAACAACGAUAAAUUUCAUUACUUUAGUGACUUUCCCAAACUCGGGCUGUCCUGCCCCUCCCCCCAACUCAUGGGGCAAACCCCAGAGAUAUUUUUUUUUUGAAUGUUGCAGUCUUAACCACCCUAAGCCAUUAAUUUUAAUAACUAUAGCAAUGAAUUAAAAAUCAGCCUCUUUUUUUUUUUAAGCCAGAAGUGCUAUGGAACAUCUGUGAACAUUCCAACUGCUAAGGAUUCUGGGAACUGUAGUCCCAACACAGACAGAGAGUGCCAAGUGGGGCAAGGGCGGGGGGGAGGGGGAAACACCAGAAAAUAACAUCCAGGAUGAUUUUUAGGUUAUUUCUCCCCCUUUCUUUUAAUCCAAAUGUCUCCUUUUUUUUUGCCUCUGUUCCCCAUCUUGGUAGAACAGUUGUAUCGUAGAUGAAAAUUCUACCACAGACUGCUGAUUUUUGAUUUGGGGAAAUUGGAAUUAACGCAUUGUCUCCUCUUCUGGCUAAGUGGAAGUUGUAAAAACUGUACAUGGUGAUUGGAUCUUUGUAAUAAAACCAGUUCUAAUAAACUCCCAGUACGCUGUAAUUUG